GUCUACGACCAUACCACCCGGAAAACACCGGUUCUCGUCCGAUCACCGAAGUUAAGCCUGGUCGGGCGAAGUUAGUACUUGGAUGGGUGACCGCCUGGGAAUACUUCGUGUUGUAGACU
rnacentral:rRNA from 1 species